AUUGAACGCUGGCGGCAUGCUUUACACAUGCAAGUCGAACGGGGUUGGGAGCUUGCUUCCAAUCUAGUGGCGAACGGGUGAGUAAUACAUCGGAACGUACCGUGUAGUGGGGGAUAACGUAGCGAAAGUUACGCUAAUACCGCAUACGAUCCACGGAUGAAAGCAGGGGACCUUCGGGCCUUGUGCUAUACGAGCGGCCGAUGUCUGAUUAGCUAGUUGGUGAGGUAAAGGCUCACCAAGGCGACGAUCAGUAGCGGGUCUGAGAGGAUGAUCCGCCACACUGGGACUGAGACACGGCCCAGACUCCUACGGGAGGCAGCAGUGGGGAAUUUUGGACAAUGGGCGCAAGCCUGAUCCAGCCAUGCCGCGUGUCUGAAGAAGGCCUUCGGGUUGUAAGGACUUUGUCAGGGAGCAAAACUUACUGGUUAAUACCUGGUGAGGUUGAGAGUACCUGAAGAAUAAGACACCGGCUAACUACGUGCCAGCAGCCGCGGUAA
rnacentral:rRNA from 1 species